GAUGAACGCUGGCGGCGUGCCUAAUACAUGCAAGUCGAGCGAACAGACGAGGAGCUUGCUCCUCUGACGUUAGCGGCGGACGGGUGAGUAACACGUGGAUAACCUACCUAUAAGACUGGGAUAACUUCGGGAAACCGGAGCUAAUACCGGAUAAUAUAUUGAACCGCAUGGUUCAAUAGUGAAAGACGGUUUUGCUGUCACUUAUAGAUGGAUCCGCGCCGCAUUAGCUAGUUGGUGAGGUAACGGCUUACCAAGGCGACGAUGCGUAGCCGACCUGAGAGGGUGAUCGGCCACACUGGAGCUGAGACACGGUCCAGACUCCUACGGGAGGCAGCAGUAGGGAAUCUUACGCAAUGGGCGAAAGCCUGACGGAGCAACGCCGCGUGAGUGAUGAAGGUCUUCGGAUCGUAAAACUCUGUUAGUAGGGAAGAACAAAUGUGUAAGUAAAUAUGCACGUCUUGACGGUACCUAAUCAGAAAGCCACGGCUAACUACGUG
rnacentral:rRNA from 1 species